GUGGGGAAUAUUGGACAAUGGGCGAAAGCCUGAUCCAGCCAUGCCGCGUGUGUGAAGAAGGUCUUCGGAUUGUAAAGCACUUUAAGUUGGGAGGAAGGGUAGUAACCUAAUACGUUGCUACUUUGACGUUACCGACAGAAUAAGCACCGGCUAACUUCGUGCCAGCAGCCGCGGUAAUACGAAGGGUGCAAGCGUUAAUCGGAAUUACUGGGCGUAAAGCGCGCGUAGGUGGUUCAGUAAGUUUGAAGUGAAAUCCCCGGGCUCAACCUGGGAACUGCUUUCAAAACUGCUGAGCUAGAGUACGGUAGAGGGUGGUGGAAUUUCCUGUGUAGCGGUGAAAUGCGUAGAUAUAGGAAGGAACACCAGUGGCGAAGGCGACCACCUGGACUGAUACUGACACUGAGGUGCGAAAGCGUGGGGAGCAAACAGGAUUAGAUACCCUAGUAGUCC
rnacentral:rRNA from 1 species